AGACAAUGCCACAGAAUCUUUGCUAUCAUACAGCAUAUCUGAUGGAUGUAGAAGAGGCAGAGUUACAGACAGAGGAAAGGAGAAAGAAAUACGUCUUCUACAUGCUGGUUCACUCCCCAAAUGUCCACAACUCAGUGGGCCAAUCUGAUGCCAGGAGCCAGGUGCUUCUUUCAGCUUAUUAAUCUAUACUCUUCUGGUGAUGUGAAACGGUAGAAUGUCUACAUGAUGAGAUGAAGGGAAAACAAUGAUGUAGGCAUUGGGAAGCAGCAUCAGGGUACUGUGAAGGAUUACGUCCAGGUAAUGCUAUCAUUGUAAUACUAUAGCAACUGAUGAGAUAAGUAUUUAGUAAGCAGAUAAACCAUACAAUAUGUAUAUGUUAGACAAACCGAGAAUGAGAAUUCCUGUACCGGAAAACACACAGUGGGAUUGUGCCAAAUUUCAUCACACUACUCAUAAUAUGCAAUUUAACACUCAUAAAUUGUUAAUGUAUGGAAAUUUCCAUCUAAAAAUGUUGACUGCAAGUAAUUGAAACAGCAGAAAGCAAAAUGGCAGUUAGGGGAAUAGUGCUGUGCAA